GACGAACGCCGGCGGCGUGCUUAACACAUGCAAGUCGAACGGAAAGGCCCUGCUUUUGUGGGGUGCUCGAGUGGCGAACGGGUGAGUAACACGUGAGUAACCUGCCCUUGACUUUGGGAUAACUUCAGGAAACUGGGGCUAAUACCGGAUAGGAGCUCCUGCUGCAUGGUGGGGGUUGGAAAGUUUCGGCGGUUGGGGAUGGACUCGCGGCUUAUCAGCUUGUUGGUGGGGUAGUGGCUUACCAAGGCUUUGACGGGUAGCCGGCCUGAGAGGGUGACCGGCCACAUUGGGACUGAGAUACGGCCCAGACUCCUACGGGAGGCAGCAGUGGGGAAUAUUGCACAAUGGGCGGAAGCCUGAUGCAGCAACGCCGCGUGCGGGAUGACGGCCUUCGGGUUGUAAACCGCUUUCGCCUGUGACGAAGCGUGAGUGACGGUAAUGGGUAAAGAAGCACCGGCUAACUACGUGCCAGCAGCCGCGGUGAUACGUAGGGUGCGAGCGUUGUCCGGAUUUAUUGGGCGUAAAGGGCUCGUAGGUGGUUGAUCGCGUCGGAAGUGUAAUCUUGGGGCUUAACCCUGAGCGUGCUUUCGAUACGGGUUGACUUGAGGAAGGUAGGGGAGAAUGGAAUCCCUGGUGGAGCGGUGGAAUGCGCAGAUAUCAGGAGGAACACCAGUGGCGAAGGCGGUUCUCUGGGCCUUUCCUGACGCUGAGGAGCGAAAGCGUGGGGAGCGAACAGGCUUAGAUACCCUGGUAGUCCACGCUGUAAACGGUGGGUACUAGGUGUGGGGUCCAUUCCACGGGUUCCGUGCCGUAGCUAACGCUUUAAGUACCCCGCCUGGGGAGUACGGCCGCAAGGCUAAAACUCAAAGGAAUUGACGGGGCCCCGCACAAGCGGCGGAGCAUGCGGAUUAAUUCGAUGCAACGCGUAGAACCUUACCUGGGUUUGACAUGGAUCGGGAGUGCUCAGAGAUGGGUGUGCCUCUUUUGGGGUCGGUUCACAGGUGGUGCAUGGCUGUCGUCAGCUCGUGUCGUGAGAUGUUGGGUUAAGUCCCGCAACGAGCGCAACCCCUGUUCACUGUUGCCAGCACGUUAUGGUGGGGACUCAGUGGAGACCGCCGGGGUCAACUCGGAGGAAGGUGGGGAUGACGUCAAGUCAUCAUGCCCCUUAUGUCCAGGGCUUCACGCAUGCUACAAUGGCUGGUACAGAGAGUGGCGAGCCUGUGAGGGUGAGCGAAUCUCGGAAAGCCGGUCUCAGUUCGGAUUGGGGUCUGCAACUCGACCUCAUGAAGUCGGAGUCGCUAGUAAUCGCAGAUCAGCAACGCUGCGGUGAAUACGUUCCCGGG
rnacentral:rRNA from 1 species